rnacentral:rRNA from 1 species
AUUGAACGCUGGCGGCAGGCUUAACACAUGCAAGUCGAGCGGAGUGAUGGUGCUUGCACUAUCACUUAGCGGCGGACGGGUGAGUAAUGCUUAGGAAUCUGCCUAUUAGUGGGGGACAACAUCUCGAAAGGGAUGCUAAUACCGCAUACGUCCUACGGGGGAAAGCAGGGGAUCACUUGUGACCUUGCGCUAAUAGAUGAGCCAAAGUCGGAUUAGCUAGUUGGUGGGGUAAAGGCCUACCAAGGCGACGAUCUGUAGCGGGUCUGAGAGGAUGAUCCGCCACCAUGGGACUGAGACACGGCCCAGACUCCUACGGGAGGCAGCAGUGGGGAAUAUUGGACANNNGGGGGAACCCUGANCCAGCCAUGCCACGUGUGUGAAGAAGGCCUUAUGGUUGNAAAGCACUUUAAGCGAGGAGGAGGCUCUUUUGNUUAAUACNNAAGNUGAGUGGACGUUNCUCGCAGAAUAAGCACCGGCUAACUCUGUGCCAGCCGCCGCGGUAA